AUUGAACGCUGGCGGCAUGCCUUACACAUGCAAGUCGAGCGCCCCGCAAGGGGAGCGGCGGACGGGUGAGUAACGCGUGGGAACAUACCCUUUGGUACGGAAUAGCCGCGGGAAACUGGGAGUAAUACCGUAUGUGCUCGAAAGAGGAAAGAUUUAUCGCCAAAGGAUUGGCCCGCGUUGGAUUAGGUAGUUGGUGGGGGAAUGGCCUACCAAGCCGACGAUCCAUAGCUGGUUUGAGAGGAUGAUCAGCCACACUGGGACUGAGACACGGCCCAGACUCCUACGGUAGGCAGCAGUGGGGAAUCUUAGACAAUGGGCGCAAGCCUGAUCUAGCCAUGCCGCGUGAUCGAUGAAGGCCUUAGGGUUGUAAAGAUCUUUCAGUGGGGAAGAUAAUGACUGUACCCACAGAAGAAGCCCCGGCUAACUCCGUGCCAGCAGCCGCAGUAA
rnacentral:rRNA from 1 species